UCCCAGAGAUUUAUGCGUAUGGUC
rnacentral:siRNA from 1 species